rnacentral:rRNA from 1 species
GAUGAACGCUAGCUACAGGCUUAACACAUGCAAGUCGAGGGGCAGCAGGGACAAAGCUUGCUUUGUUUGCUGGCGACCGGCGCACGGGUGAGUAACGCGUAUCCGACCUACCCAUAACUCGGGCACAGCCGCUCGAAAGAGAGAUUGAUUCCCGAUAUGUCCUUGGAGUAGAUUCAAUGAUGAAAGAUUCAUCGGUUAUGGAUGGGGAUGCGUAAGAUUAGGUAGUAGGCGGGGUAACGGCCCACCUAGCCGACGAUCUUUAGGGGUUCUGAGAGGAAGGUCCCCCCANACUGGUACUGAGACACGGACCAGACUCCUACGGGAGGCAGCAGUGAGGAAUAUUGGUCAAUGGGCGAGGCCUGAACCAGCCAAGUAGCGUGAAGGAUUACUGCCCUACGGGUUGUAAACUUCUUUUAUACGGGAACAAACCCCGGUACGUGUACCGGAUUGCGUGUACCGUAUGAAUAAGCAUCGGCUAACUCCGUG